AAAGGAGCUCGCUUGGACAAAGUUUUGGGCAUUCUAAAUUCUUGUUCCAAAAAAAUAUAGAAAUGGUCUAGCUGUAAGUUUUGAAAAAGGAACUUAAUAUGACUCUUUUAGCGGGAUUUGGCUUUCCUUCUUUGGGCUUUGAUUUUGGUAUAGGUGGGAUGUACUGUUAGCUUCCCGGAUCGGUACUGUCGCCUGUUUUACAAUUUUUCACUGGCCGUUUCCCAGCUGUUUCCAGGUCUUCUGGCAGCUUCCAGGACCUUUUCUGUACCUGGAACCUCGGUGCCGCACCUGGCGAUUCAAAAAACGAUUGUUGGGGAUGCCCGCUCUUUUCUUGUUAAAGUCGGAUGCCAUUGUCAAAUUGUGGAUUUAUGCGCGGCGUUAUUUCCCUAAAUAAAACACACAAACUUAACACAACAUAUCCCACAUAACACCACUUACAAAUCAACAUUUACACAUUGUUUAGAUACGCCACACAAAUAAAAAGCACGAAUAGUAACUGCCAAUUGUGUAUUUCUUUAUUUUUAUUAAAAAAAGGAUUAAAAAUUGACUGAACUGUUUUUUCUGCUCCACAUUACUUUGAAAUAAUGGCGCUUUUAUCCCUCCCUGACGCUCAACCAAACCUUCCCUGUUUUCCAAGAUUUUCCCACAAUUUCCUUGACAUUUAUUAUUUACCUUUAUCAGGUGUUCUACCUACCCACUAUUAUCCCCAGUUUUGUAUUUUUGCCACACGUCUCUUGUGUUGUAAAAAAACAACUUGAAACAUGGCAUCACUUUUUCAAAUUUAGCCGACCGCCCUGCGUAUCCGGCUCUCUUUUUUGGCUGGCGUUCAGCACGUUCGGUGCAUUAAAUUGCACAUUAUAAAAAUUCAUACUGGGAAUGAACGCAACAAAACUUCACCACUUUAGUAGAAAAAAAUAAAGAAAGUGGUGAUAUGCGUGAAUCCUUACAUCCGGUCGUAGGCGGAAUAUAAAAUUGUGGAGCCAAGUAAGUUUCUUCUUUUUUAUCACCAUCAGUCAGUCCACGUGACCAAACAAAAUUUCUAGUGUCUCAUUUUUUUCCUUCCGGAUAAAGACGAAUCAAAAAAAUUACCUGAUUUAUAUUCAUUCUUGGGAGUCUCAUGCUUGCAGUCGUGGAAACGUACAUGAAGUGUGCGCAACGCCGUUAAUUUACCUACACCGGCCAUUCAUGCUUUCGUAGAGUUAUAGAUCCCUAUGUGACUUUGCAGUGUAUCGUUGCGGCUUAUUCACUCAAUUCAAUUCACAAAAUUUUCCAAUCGGACAAACAAAUGACAGAUAAUAACUUUUUAAAGAAAUAUUGUAUUUAUUCAUUCUAACUUGUUACUUUUUAUUCUAACAGAGAUUUGGUGGAUUUACCCACAAUCGUACAAAUAAUCCAUGAGUGGGACUCGUGAAUAUCGUUGGAACAAAUGGAAAACGCAAAUCGUGGAAACAAAUAUUUGUUUACCUUUCUUACAAUGGUAACUUCGGUAGAUCCCUAAUCGUUUGGUUGAAUUUUUUAAGCGCACUUACAUUUUCGUGAAACUUUUUAAAUCAUUUUUGAAAAUUAACUUGUCCCAGCAGGUAUUCCAUCAGAUGUCACCCACUCUGUUGAUACCUGCAACAAAUUCAAUAGCACCAAUGGAACAAGGAAGAACUUUAGCACAUAAUCAGCAGCCAGUUUCAACCAAUGGCUUAAACAAAAACAACAAUUAUGGCAAACGUCUAAGGUUAGAAGACUCUACACCACCAACUGAUGUUGACAUAUCGGGGUUCAAAUAUGAUCCUAAUAACCAGAACAGGUAUGCAAAGUUUGCAGAUCUGGAAUUUGAAAAUAUUCAACAAGCACCGCAAACCAAUAACACCGAUCCGGAAAAGUCACCAAAAAAAGGAAAGACGUCUUUUUACCCACCAAUAUUUUUAUAUAAUAUUAAUGUCCUACUCCUAAUUAAACAAUUAGAAGAAAGAUCGCCACCAAUUAAUUUCAAAAUCAAAAAUGUUGGUACAAAUAAAUGUAAAUUAUAUCUAUGUGAUCCCACAGCCAACACUACAAUGCUAGAUACUCUUCGUGAAAAGUCUGUCCACGCGUACUCGUUUACACCGAAAGAAUUAAAGCAGGUGUCAUUUAUAUUAAGGGGACUUUGUCGAGGCGUUGAAGCUGAAUACGUCAAAAAUGCCUUGGAUGAGGUAUUGCCUGAAGUUAUUUCCAAGGUAUCAAAAUUCAAAACUUCUAGAUCAAUAAAAAAUAAUUUGGAUACAGGUCUUUUCUUGGUGACUCUUAUUCCUGGUAAAUCAUUAAGCGACAUUUCCCAUAUUAAAUAUUUACAUAAGCAAUCGCCGAUCGAAUGGACAUACCGCAAACUGGAGAGGUUGUCCUGUAUUUAAAAAAUAUGCAGCUAAGAGAAGAGAACGCAUUCAAAACGCCAUAAACAUUGAAAAGGCAGCAACAGAAAAUCUGAGUCAUGUCAUUUCCAACAAUUAUGUUACAGCAGAUAAAACAUUUGCAAGUCAUUUUCAUCCUACGACGAGCCAUAGUAGUAAACCAUCAAUUAUUGACGAAUUUUUAAAAUUGUCAAAUAUUUUCUUGCAACCAGAGGAACUAACCCUAGAGCAAGAAAUAAACAUAUUUCUGGCAGAAUUCAACAAUAUGUCAAAGAGUAAAGCUAAAGACGAAUUCAUGCGUCUUUUAAAAAAAGGAUACUUAUGGUCCAUAGGUUCUUAAAAUGUUUAGCCUUCAAUGUCCGGUCUCUUGUGGAUCGCAGUCGUCAGAUCGAGCUACAUAAAUAUCUCUCCAAAAACAAAAUUGAUAUUACAUUUAUCCAAGAAUGCCAACUUCGAAAAAAUAAAAAAGUUUAUAUGAAGGGUUACACAUUUUGAUAUGACUACUCAAAUAUUGGCAUGGCAGUACUUUUAAAAAACGACAUCAAUUACAAGCGCACUACAGCUGAGGAUAUAAAUUUUAAUGCAGUCUUUAUUGAGAUUGAGACAAAAAUUAACAAUUCAAUGCAGAAAUUUUUACUGGGUUCACUUUAUAUUUCAACCAAUUUCAACACACAACACUUAAUCAAUGGUCUAAAUAAUUGUCUGCAGUUUACUAAUAAUUAUGAUGGAUUUAUUUUUGGAGGGGAUCUUAAUUCUAGACACACGACGUGGGGUGAUAUAAUGGACAACACCAAUUGAAGGACACUUUACAAUUGGUUGCUUGAUAAUGCCACAGACGUUACUCGAAUAUGUGACUCUUCUCCUUCAUACCCUAAUGGUCCAUCUUAUUUGGAUCAUUUUUUGGUCAGCCCAAAACUGAUAGAUACUGAUGCAGGCAACUACAAAAUAACCAGUAUUCCCUCAUUUUCUGACCAUUACCCUCUCAAAUUGGAUAUUUCGUUCAAUACAGGUGGUAUUAUCCUCAAAACUCCCAGAGUGGUUGUUUCUUAUAAGUCCACGGAUUGGAGUAUGUUUCGUCGACAGUUUGAUUCUGCAUUGGAAUCCAUUUUACCACCUGCAAACAGAAAUCUUGUUAAUGAUGAAAUUGACAAUUGUAUAAAUAUCUUUGAAAAUACCUUUCAUAACAUACACAAACAGCACUGCAAAACAAUUGAAGUAAAAAAUCACCAAAUCCUUUUACCUGAAAUAUAAAGAGGUUUUAUAAAAUCAAAGAUCAAUGGCAAAAAGGCCUAAAAAAAAAUAUUUCAUCGAAAUGCCAACAGAACAAAUUUUGAAUACAAUAUAUUGUCCAAACAAAUACAGCUACUCAAAAACAUUAUACGGGACCUUCUUUACAAAAAGCAGGCUAAAGUUUUUUAACUCCAAAUUAAAAAAUAUAAAACCCAGUCCAUGAGCUUUCCAACAAGUUAGCAAACUAAUUGGAAAAUCUAAAACACAAUUUUGCCAACAGCUACAAAUAGAUAAUGUGGCUUUUACUACAGGUAGAGAGAUCGCAAACGCCUUCCAUGACUAUUAUAGCGACACUUAUAAACAUUUACAUCUUUCUCCACUUGUUAUGCUUCCGUUCUACCUGAACGAAGUAACAUUGUAACACUCAGUCUGCGCGGCAUUAUGGCGGGGUUCCGCACUAGCUCAGGAGGGAGCGGUUAUCCAGGGGUUCUCAAAAUGAACACAUAAGAAUAAAACUUGAAUUUUAAUACCGGAACGAAAAAAAUUGUGAGUCAAUACUCAGAUUACCUUUUUUAUUACACCGCUAGGAGCGCCAAAUUUUGGUCAAUAAAUCUACUCUAAAUUCUGCCUAAAGGAGCUCGCUUGGACAAAAGUUUUGGGCAUUCUAAAUUCUUGUUCCAAAAAAAUAUAGAAAUGGUCUAGCUGUAAGUUUUGAAAAAGGAACUUAAUAUGACUCUUUUAGCGGGAUUUGGCUUUCCUUCUUUGGGCUUUGAUUUUGGUAUAGGUGGGAUGUACUGUUAGCUUCCCGGAUCGGUACUGUCGCCUGUUUUACAAUUUUUCACUGGCCGUUUCCCAGCUGUUUCCAGGUCUUCUGGCAGCUUCCAGGACCUUUUCUGUACCUGGAACCUCGGUCCCGCACCUGGCGAUUCAAAAAACGAUUGUUGGGGAUGCCCGCUCUUUUCUUGUUAAAGUCGGAUGCCAUUGUCAAAUUGUGGAUUUAUGCGCGGCGUUAUUUCCCUAAAUAAAACACACAAACUUAACACAACAUAUCCCACAUAACACCACUUACAAAUCAACAUUUACACAUUGUUUAGAUACGCCACACAAAUAAAAAGCACGAAUAGUAA